rnacentral:piRNA from 1 species
UGUGUAUCAUAUUAUAUUUAG